AUUUCUGUAGUGGAGCGGCCAUCACAUGCGCAUUAUGCGCGCCACGUCCCCAGUUCAAUCCCGGGCAGAAGCA